UACGUAGGGUGCAAGCGUUGUCCGGAAUUAUUGGGCGUAAAGAGCUCGUAGGCGGUUUGUUGCGUCGGCUGUGAAAACCCGGGGCUCAACUCCGGGCCUGCAGCCGAUACGGGCAGACUAGAGUUCGGCAGGGGAGAUCGGAAUUCCUGGUGUAGCGGUGAAAUGCGCAGAUAUCAGGAGGAACACCGGUGGCGAAGGCGGAUCUCUGGGCCAUUACUGACGCUGAGGAGCGAAAGCGUGGGGAGCGAACAGG
rnacentral:rRNA from 1 species